rnacentral:tRNA from 1 species
CUACGGACUUAAAAUCCG